rnacentral:tRNA from 1 species
GUAGAUAUAGUUUAACAAAAACGUUAGAUUGUGAUUCUAAAAAUAGGAGAUAGAACCUCCUUAUUCACC